ACCUAAACCUGACAGAAGCGGGCACCGAACGCUUGAGGUAAAGCGGAUGGCAGGGCGCUAC
rnacentral:sRNA from 1 species